GACGGGUGCGUCCUCGGUGGAAGUAAGAAGAGGAGGAGGAGCUUCGCUUCAGCUUCUUGUGAUCUUGUGAAGCAUACCGCUUGCUACAUUAAUGAGCAUCCUUCCUUCCUCUUCUCACAAGAUCACCGUGGGAACUGAGUUCCUACCCUGUACUUCAUUCCUUUUUUCUUUCUGCUCGAUGAAAUGCCCAGGCGCCAAACUCACAUGUAAGGUUUAGUCUGUGCGAGCUAUGAAUAAGAAAUCGUCAAGUCAUUGACAUAUAAUUUGAACUUAGAUGAUGAAGGCAUUUGGUAGAACAAGAGAGUGGCUGAGGAGCUGUUUUGUGAAGAUGGCAAAUGCACGAAAGGGAUUGAAUACAGCUCAUUCGGACAGAUUGGGACAGGAAGGAGGAUAUGUGACGUCAAAUGAAGAUUUUUCGUACUCAAUAAUGUCAACUUGAUUUAGUAACAACGUGAAGUGUUAUGAUAGAUAAUACUUCGUUGGGGGUUUCCAAGUCAGUUUGGGUUUAGUGUCCCAACUCCUCGUUGUAGGUUUCGGUACCGAAAGGAAGGAAUCAAUUUUUGAUAUGAACUCCUGUGAAACUAA